GACGAACGCUGGCGGCGUGCUUAACACAUGCAGGUCGAACGGAAAGGCCCUGCUUUUGUGGGGUGCUCGAGUGGCGAACGGGUGAGUAACACGUGAGUAACCUGCCCUUGACUUUGGGAUAACUUCAGGAAACUGGGGCUAAUACCGGAUAGGAGCUCCUGCUGCAUGGUGGGGGUUGGAAAGUUUCGGCGGUUGGGGAUGGACUCGCGGCUUAUCAGCCUGUUGGUGGGGUAGUGGCUUACCAAGGCUUUGACGGGUAGCCGGCCUGAGAGGGUGACCGGCCACAUUGGGACUGAGAUACGGCCCAGACUCCUACGGGAGGCAGCAGUGGGGAAUAUUGCACAAUGGGCGGAAGCCUGAUGCAGCAACGCCGCGUGCGGGAUGACGGCCUUCGGGUUGUAAACCGCUUUCGCCUGUGACGAAGCGUGAGUGACGGUAAUGGGUAAAGAAGCACCGGCUAACUACGUG
rnacentral:rRNA from 1 species